CCGUCAGUAACGAACGUUCCAGCUAACCCAGCGGACCUACAGCGUCUUCCAGGGAAAGCAGGGUAUUGUGGAAUGAUACCCGCAAUUCCUCAACGCAAAUGCCAUCCGAAUCCCAUUGAGAUGUAAUUCGCAGUGUGCAAUUUUUCCUUUUCUUUUUCUCUCCCGUUUUUCAAGACUAACAGCCUAAACAGCGAUAUCGGGAUUUUUCUCUUUACUCCUCUCUUCGCAAUACCUUCUUCUGCCCGGGAGAAGGUAUGCCAUUGAGAUAGCAGCCACAGGUCGCAUGGAACCUAGAGCGUGCCUAGCAGCGGGCGGUUCUGGGAAGAGACCAUUUGACACAUCCCACAGUUAUUUCCGCAGGUCGUCCUCUCAAGCAUUUGCUUGGGCUGUGCUGCAUUUGGACAUUGGUAUCAUGGAAAACGUACACCUGUAAAAAUUUAGAGCAAUCGCAGGGUAGGAUGUGUGGACUAGUGCUGGUGCUGUGAAAGCACGACGGGGGUUGGAAAGAUAUAACGAUCGCAUGAAAUCGGCGAGUACAAAUGAAUUGAGCGGCUUUGAAGCGGAGGAAAGAUG
rnacentral:sRNA from 1 species